UUAUUAUAUAUAUAUAUAUAUAUAUAUAUAUAUAUAUAUAUAUAUAUAGAGAGAGAGAGAGAGAGAGAGAGAGAGAGAGAGAGUUGAGCUAUGAUACUUUUACAAGUAUCACCAUCAUGGUGCUAUUAGGUUUUAAGUCAUUGGAUCUACUUUUUGAUUAUUAAUAGCCCUUGGAUUAAAUACUAUUCUACCUACCACCACCUACCACCAUCAUCUCAACCUCACAUCUCUCCAUUCAAGGGCUAAAAACACACAAGUAUCACUCCCAUGAUACUUUUACAAGUAUUCUAGCCCUACUAUAUAUAUAUAUAUAUAUAUAUAUAUAUANCACCAAGUCAUUGGUGCUACCAAGUUUUUGGCCAUUGGAUUAAGAGAUAUGCGGUUAGGAUGAUGUUGGCCCCCUAGGGUUGAGUGGAUAGUUGGCUGAAUAGUAUGAUCUAACGGAUGAAAAUGAUCAAAAGGGUAGAUCUAAUUGCGAAAAACUUGGUAGCACCAAAUGCUUCGUGCUAUUAAUAGCAUAGUAGCCGGAC
rnacentral:lncRNA from 1 species